GACGAACGCUGGCGGCGUGCCUAAUACAUGCAAGUCGAGCGGACUUGACAGAGCUUGCUCUGUUCAAGUUAGCGGCGGACGGGUGAGUAACACGUGGGCAACCUGCCCUGCAGAUUGGGAUAACUCCGGGAAACCGGGGCUAAUACCGAAUAACAUGGAAACCCUCAUGGUUUUCUUUUAAAAGGCGGCUUCGGCUGUCACUGCAGGAUGGGCCCGCGGCGCAUUAGCUAGUUGGUGAGGUAACGGCGCACCAAGGCGACGAUGCGUAGCCGACCUGAGAGGGUGAUCGGCCACACUGGGACUGAGACACGGCCCAGACUCCUACGGGAGGCAGCAGUAGGGAAUCUUCCGCAAUGGACGAAAGUCUGACGGAGCAACGCCGCGUGAGUGAAGAAGGUUUUCGGAUCGUAAAACUCUGUUGUUAGGGAAGAACAAGUAUCGGAGUAACUGCCGGUACCUUGACGGUACCUGACCAGAAAGCCACGGCUAACUACGUGCCAGCCGCCGCCGUAAUAC
rnacentral:rRNA from 1 species